GUUGAACUGAGAGCUUGCUCUCUGGGUGGCGAGUGGCGGACGGGUGAGGAAUACAUCGGAAUCUACUUUUUCGUGGGGGAUAACGUAGGGAAACUUACGCUAAUACCGCAUACGACCUACGGGUGAAAGCAGGGGAUCUUCGGACCUUGCGCGAUUGAAUGAGCCGAUGUCGGAUUAGCUAGUUGGCGGGGUAAAGGCCCACCAAGGCGACGAUCCGUAGCUGGUCUGAGAGGAUGAUCAGCCACACUGGAACUGAGACACGGUCCAGACUCCUACGGGAGGCAGCAGUGGGGAAUAUUGGACAAUGGGCGCAAGCCUGAUCCAGCCAUACCGCGUGGGUGAAGAAGGCCUUCGGGUUGUAAAGCCCUUUUGUUGGGAAAGAAAUCCAGCUGGUUAAUACCCGGUUGGGAUGACGGUACCCAAAGAAUAAGCACCGGCUAACUUCGUGCCAGCAGCCGCGGUAAUACGAAGGGUGCAAGCGUUACUCGGAAUUACUGGGCGUAAAGCGUGCGUAGGUGGUCGUUUAAGUCCGUUGUGAAAGCCCUGGGCUCAACCUGGGAACUGCAGUGGAUACUGGGCGACUAGAAUGUGGUAGAGGGUAGCGGAAUUCCUGGUGUAGCAGUGAAAUGCGUAGAGAUCAGGAGGAACA
rnacentral:rRNA from 1 species